ACGUGAGCAACCUGCCUUUGAGUCGGGGAAAACCGUUGGAAACGACGGCUAAUACCGGAUGUCGGCGCCUGGCGACAUCGCCGGAGCGGCUAAAGGGGGCCGCAAGGCUCUCGCUCGUAGAGGGGCUCGCGCACCAUCAGCUUGUUGGCGGGGUAACGGCCCACCAAGGCCUACGGUUAGCUGGUCUGAGAGGAUGACCAGCCCCACUGGGACUGAGAUACUGCCCAGACUCCUACGGGAGGCUGCAGUCGAGGAUCAUUUGCAAUGGGCGAAAGCCUGACAAUGCGACGCUGCGUGGAGGAUGAAGGCCUUCGGGUUGUAAACUCCUGUCAUGGGGGAACAGGCGAGGGGAGUUAACACCUCCCUUAGUUGAGUGUACCCCAAGAGGAAUUGGCGGCUAACUCUGUGCCAGCCGCCGC
rnacentral:rRNA from 1 species